rnacentral:ncRNA from 1 species
AAAGAGUCUAUAGGUUUGUAUAUGGUGAUUAAAGUUUUAUUUUAGUUUAAUAAUUAAAUUAGAUUUGGUAGUUAUAUGUAAAUUUUUGUAUAAAUAAAAAUAUUAUUUAAAUAAUAAUAUGAAGAUUUUAUUCGCAGUAACUAAUUUUAUUAAUUAAAUAAUUUUAGAAUUAGGAUAAGUUUUUAGUAAUGACUAAAUUUGUGCCAGCAGUUGCGGUUAUACAAAUAGUACAAUUUAAUUUUUUUUAGUAUUAAUAUAUUUUUAAUUAUUUAUUUUAAAUUAAAAUUUAUUAGGUGGAAUUUUAAAUUUUAUAAUAAAUAUAGUAUUAAUAAUUAUUUAAUAAAUUUAGUAAUAAACUAGGAUUAGAUACCCUAUUAUUAUAAAUGUAAAAUUAAACUAGAUUAGUAGUAGUUAUGUUCUUGAAAUUAAAAAUUUUGGCGGUUUUUUAGUCUAUUCAGAGGAACCUGUUCUGUAAAUGAUAGUCCACGAUUUGAAUGUCCUUUAUUAUUAGUUUGUAUAUCGUCGUAGUUUGAAUAUUUUAAAAGAAUUAUAAUAUUCAAAAUUUAUUUAAAUAAAAAAAAUCAGAUCAAGGUAUAGCUUAUAUAAAGGUAGAAAUGGGUUACAUUAAUUUUAAUUAUAGAUUAUUAAUUUAAAAUUAAAUAUGAAAAAGGAUUUGAUAGUAAUUUUUAAAAAAUUUUAAAAAUGAUUUUAGCUCUAAAAAAUGUACAUAUCGCCCGUCGCUUUCACUCUAAAGUGAAAUAAGUCGUAACAAAGUAGGCUUACUGGAAAGUGAGCCUAGAAAGAG